UGCUCGGACACCUGCCCAACGGUGUCCAGUGAUUUGAAGAAUAUUGACACAGGAGUUAAUCCUAAAGCUAAGAGCCAUGUGACUAUCCGGCGGGCAGUUUUAGAAGAAAUUGGAAAUAAAGUUAGAACCAGAACGGCCCACUAAAGUGACAAAUGUCAACAAACAGCUGAAACCUACAGCUUCUGUGAGGCCAGUGCAGAUGGAGGCGCUGGCUCCAAAGGACCCUCUUCCUGCCUCUGAGGAUGUCUCCAUGAUGGAAGAGAGCCUCUGCCUAACGUUCUCUGAUGCUUUGCUCUGCAAGAUUGAAGACAUAGAUCACGAGGACGGGGAGAACCCCCAGCUCUGUAGUGACUACCUGAAGGACAUCUACCAGUAUCUCAGGCAGCUUGAGGUUUUGCAGUCCAUCAAUCCAUACUUCUUAGAUGGAAGAGAUAUAAAUGGACAUAUAUGUACCAUCCUGGUGGACUGGCUGGUCCAAGCACAUUCCAAGUUUAGGCUUCUGCAGGAAACUCUGUACAUAUGCAUUGCCAUCAGGGACCAGUUCCUACAGGCUCAGCCAGUCUGUGGGAAGAAGCUGCAGCUGGUUGGGAUCACAGCUUUGCUCCUGGCUUCCAAAUAUGAGGAGAUGCUUCCUCCAAAUAUCGAAGACUUUGUGUAUAUCACAGAUAAUGCUUACACCAAUUCCCAAAUCCAAGAAAUGGAGACUCUGAUUUUGAAAGAAUUUGAAUUGGACAUCUCUCCAGCCCUGCCACUUCACUUCUUAAGGCAAGCUUCAAAAGCCAGGGAGGUGGAUGUUGAACAACACACAUUAGCCAAGUAUCUGAUGGAACUGACACUCUUCGACUAUGACAUGGUGCAUUACCAUCCUUCUCAGGUCGCAGCAGCAGCUUCCUGCCUGUCUCAGAAGGUGCUCGGCCAAGGAAAAUGGAAUUUAAAGCAGCAGUAUUACACAGGCUACACGGAGAGUGAAGUUCUGGAAGUCAUACAGCACAUGACCAAGAAUGUCGUGAACAUCGAUGACAACCUCCCCAGUUUCAUUGCUGUCAAGAACAAGUAUGCCAGCAGCAGACUCCUGAAGAUCAACACAAUCCCUCAGCUGAACUCCAAAACCAUCUAAGACCUGGCUUCCCCUCUGAUGGGCAGGCCCUAG